GGGACUGUACCUUGGUGGUAGAAUAUUUGCUCGGGAUGCAGAAAGUCCUAGGUUCAAAUCCCAGCAACUCCA
rnacentral:tRNA from 1 species